rnacentral:rRNA from 1 species
GCCAGACUCCUACGGGAGGCAGCAGUGAGGAAUAUUGGUCAAUGGGCGCGAGCCUGAACCAGCCAAGUAGCGUGAAGGAUGACUGCCCUACGGGUUGUAAACUUCUUUUAUAAAGGAAUAAAGUGAGGCACGUGUGCCUUUUUGUAUGUACUUUAUGGAUAAGGAUCGGCUAACUACGUGCCAGCAGCCGCGGUAAUACGUAGGGGGCGAGCGUUAUCCGGAAUUACUGGGUGUAAAGGGAGCGUAGACGGCGAGGUAAGCCUGAAGUGGAAGCCCGCGGCCCAACCGCGGAACUGCUUGGGGAACUGUUUUGCUGGAGUAUGGGAGGGGUAAGCGGAAUUCCUGGUGUAGCGGUGAAAUGCGUAGAUAUCACGAAGAACCCCGAUUGCGAAGGCAGCCUGCCGCAGCGUUACUGACGCUGAAGCUCGAAAGCGCGGGUAUCGAACAGGAUUAGAUACCCCAGUA